rnacentral:rRNA from 1 species
CCUACGGGAGGCAGCAGUAGGGAAUAUUUCACAAUGGGCGAAAGCCUGAUGCAGCAACGCCGCGUGCGGGAUGAAGGCUUUCGGUUUGUAAACUGCUUUCAUCAGCGAGGAAAAUGACGGUACCUGACUAAUAAGGCUCGGCUAACUACGUGCCAGCAGCCGCGGUCAUACGUAGGGAGCGAGCGUUAUCCGGAGUUACUGGGUGUAAAGAGAGCUUUGGCGGAGCAGCAAGUCCGAUGGGAAAGGUCGGGGCCCAACACCCGGACUGCAAUGGAAACUGUUAUGCUGGAGUACGGGAGAGGUAAGCGGAAUUCCUAGUGUAGGGGUGAAAUGCGUAGAUAUUAGGAGGAACACCAGUGGCGAAGGCGGGUUACUGGAACGGAACUGACGCUGAGGCACGAAAGCGUAGGGAGCAAACGGGAUUAGAUACCCUUGUAGUC